rnacentral:rRNA from 1 species
CGGACGGGACCGCAGAGUCUGCCCCCGGUAUUCAGCUCGUCCUCUUCGUCGGCCGCGUCCGUCGCCAAACGACACCCUCUGAGCGGGUGCCAUGGCGGGCGUGAGCGCGGCGGGGGACGCGUGCACUUUCCGGGGUGCGGUGCGUCACGACCGGUUCGGCGGAGGUCAGAAGGCCGGCGGGAUGGUGGCCAGUCGUUCGCGUCUGGUGGUAUAGCCCGCCUGCGUCGCAGGCCCUCUGCCGGACCGAGGAGGAUCCGCGUCUGCCUUAGGGCGCGGGGCCCGGGGCCUCCCGUGCUGCCUCCGUGCCGGGACUGCUCUCGCAGUGCCGUGCGCGGUCGGCGGUCGGGACGGACUCCGCUCCCCCCGUAACGGCGUCUAGGGUCGGUGGCGAUAUUGUCGGCAACCCGUCCGACCCGUCU